CAGUGACGCUGUGCGGCGCGUUCCACAUUGCAACACUUUUCGCUAUAUCGUUUACGCCUGUCGCUGGCAUGCGCACAGACGGCGUCAUUCCCUGCGAAAGAAGUGAUCAGAGACUAAACAUCGUACGGUUUUAUUGAUGCGCUAUGCAUGUGCAGUAUAAAAGUGCGACACCGUGACGAGCAACAGCACGGAGUGAAGUUCGUUCCAUACAUUAAGCGAUUUGCGCCAGUGUGACACUCUUCCAAUGUUGAAGCGAGCACGUCGAACGAGGCAGCAACUUCUAGGCAGAAACUUUUUCGGAAGAAGACGCGACACUGAGUGUCCUCCUGGAGCGCGUUUGAGACGAGGAGCGUUUGAGAAGAGGAGCUGGAGCGUUUGAGACAAGGAUGCAGAAGAACAGGACUUCUCGAUCAAGCUCUUUCCUGUCAACAGAGAGGCGCCGGUUCUCCCUGGAGCAUCCGGAGGCGGAGCUUGUUGGCGUGGCGACCCCCAGCUGCGCGGUGCGGCGGCGGUUCUCUGGGCCCCUCCUGCUCCCGCCGCUCUCCCGGCGCCACUCCACCCAGGACGCCCGGCGGCACCCCGACCCCGACCCGCCGCGGAGCCCCGCCCCCCUCGCCAGGGGAGGGACCCGGAGCCUGGAGGCCGUCGGAGACCCCGCCCACAACAAGGCUCAUUUUGAUGUGGAGAAUGGUUUGUCUCCAGGGCCAAGCCCCCUGGACCCCCAGGCCAGUGUGGGGUCCAGGUUGGUCCUCCAGGCGUGUGCCCCCAGUAGCCAGCGCCGGGAAUCCUUCCUGUACCGCUCCGACUCCGACUUCGACCUCUCCCCCAAGGCCACGUCCCGAAACUCCUCCGUCACAAGUGACCUACAUGGGGAGGACAUGAUUGUGACUCCGUUCGCACAGGUGCUGGCCAGCCUGCGCACGGUGAGGACCAACUUCUCCGCCCUGACGCACCUGCAGGAGCGCAGCGCACACAGGAGGUCAUCCAGUGGCAGCACCCCCCCCAUGUGCCAGCAGAGCCUGCCUGAAGAGCCCCUGCAGAAGCUGGCCCUGGAGACGAUGGAGGAGCUAGACUGGUGUCUGGACCAGCUGGAGACCCUGCAGACACGCCACUCCGUCGGCGAGAUGGCCUCCAACAAGUUUAAAAGGAUGCUGAACCGUGAGCUCACACAGCUGUCUGAGGCCAGUCGCUCCGGCAACCAGGUGUCAGAGUUCAUCUCCAGCACCUUCUUAGAUAAGCAGCAGGACAUGGAGAUCCUGUCCCCGCCGCCGAAGGAGAAGUGGCCGAUGUCUCAGAUCAGCGGUGUGCACAAACACAGCCCCGCCCCCGGCCCCGCCCCCGGCCCCGCCCCCGCUCCCACACCCCGAUUCGGGGUCUGCACGGAGCAGGAGGACCUGCUGGCCAAGGAGUUGGAAGACGUCAGCCGCUGGGGCGUUGACAUUUUCAAGAUCGGCGAGUAUUCUGGGAACCGACCACUAACGGCAGCACUGUACACCAUUUUCCAGGACAGGGACCUGCUCAAGUCCUUCAGCAUCCCCGCCAACACCUUCAUCGCCUUCGCCAUGACGCUGGAGGACCAUUACCAUGGCGAUGUGGCGUACCACAACCGCAUCCAUGCUGCCGACGUGGUCCAGUCCACCCAUGUCCUGCUGUCCACCCCCGCUCUAGAGGCUGUGUUCACGGAUCUGGAGAUCCUGGCGGCCCUGUUUGCCUGUGCCAUCCACGAUGUGGACCACCCUGGAGUCUCCAACCAGUUCCUCAUCAACACCAACUCAGAGCUGGCGCUCAUGUACAACGACUCCUCCGUCCUGGAGAACCACCACCUGGCCGUGGGCUUCAAGCUGCUGCAGGAGGAGAACUGCGACAUCUUCCAGAACCUCAGCAAGAAGCAGUGGCAGUCCCUGCGCAAGAUGGUGAUUGACAUGGUCUUGGCCACAGACAUGUCCAAACAUAUGAACCUGCUGGCUGACCUCAAGACCAUGGUGGAGACCAAGAAAGUGACCAGCCUGGGGGUGCUACUGCUGGACAACUACUCCGACCGCAUACAGGUCCUGCAGAACAUGGUGCACUGCGCUGACCUCAGUAACCCCACCAAGCCGCUGCAGCUGUACCGGCAGUGGACCGGCCGCAUCAUGGAGGAGCUGUUCAGCCAGGGAGACCGCGAGCGUGAGCGCGGCAUGGACAUCAGCCCCAUGUGCGACAAACACAGCGCGUCUGUGGAGAAGAGCCAGGUGGGGUUUAUAGACUACAUUGUGCACCCGCUGUGGGAGACGUGGGCGGACCUGGUGCACCCCGACGCCCAGGACAUCCUGGACACGCUGGAGGACAACCGGGAGUGGUACCAGAGCAUGAUCCCCCACAGUCCAAUCAGCAUGGCCGAGGGGCGGGGCCAUGAGGCCGGGGGCGGGGAGAAGUUCUCGUUCCACCUCACCCUGGAGGAAGAGGAGGGUGAGGAGGCGGAGUCAGAGGGUGAGAUCCCGCCCCCCGGUGAGGGAGAGGGGCGUGUCUCCUCCGGGUGGGCGGGGUCAUCCCGCGUCCAUCAUGCCCUGGUCUUUAGCCCCGCCCACAGGGUUUUGGCUCUGACCUCAGAGGUGGGCAUGGAAGAUACUCCUGACACUGAGGAUGAGGAGGGGGAGGCAGAUGAGGAAGAGGAGAUGGACGCUACACCCCAGCAGCAGAACACGUAGCAGCAGCCCCAGACCUGUGUGAGUGAGUGUGAGUGAGUGUGAGUGAGUGUGUAUGUGUGUGUGUAUGUGAGUGUGUGUGAGUCUGAGUGUGUGUGUGUGUGUAUGUGAGUGAGUGUGUUUGAGAGUGUGUGAGUCUGAGUGUGUGUGUGUGAGUGUGUGAGAUUGUGUUUGAGUGUGUGUGUGUUUGAGUGUGUGUGAGUCUGAGUGUGUGUGUGAGUGUGUGAGAUUGUGUUUGAGUGUGUGUGUGUUUGAGUGUGUGUGAGUCUGAGUGUGUGUGUGAGUGUGUGAGAUUGUGUUUGAGUGUGUGUGUGUUUGAGUUUGUGUGAGUCUGAGUGUGUGUGUCAGUGUGAGAGUGUGUUCAUUUGUUUGUUCACCUCAGCGCCUGGAGGCUCGUAGUCAACUUCUUACCCCUGCUUUCAUGUGUUUGGACAUGGGCUGGUUUUCAACGUUUUAACCAUUUUUAAAACUACUUGUGUUUCCAUGGAGAUGCUGCCGCAGGUCUCUACAGAGCGAGAACUUCCCCAGAACUCACACACACACACACACACUCACACACACUCUCACACACUCUCACACAUACACAAACAAACACACACACACACACACACAACGUCUUCCUGUGAGCUGCUGCUCCAAGCGGGAGAGAGGAAACAUUUCACCGUGAUGAUGAUCAGUAUGAUCUAACAGGCUCCUUCCACUCUAAAGACAUGGACUUCUGCGGACGGACACGAGUCUACCUUUUCAUUGCAGUUUUCUGUUCUUAAUCACUGGAAUCACUGGAGAUCACUGUCAAAAAAUCUUGUAGAAAACGGUCUGUGAACUAACGCCUUUGUUGUACCAAAUAUGUACAUGUAUGAGGACAAAAACAAAUCGAAAUGUGACUAUAACCUCAGGGUGUUAAGAACGUGUUUUAAUGUAGCAAGAUUGGGUUAUUGGGUCGCCCUGUCAUUACUACUGAAUAUGGAUCGUCUGUGUGUGUGCAUUUGGCUCCCCCAAGUGGCGUACAGUUGAACUCGGUCCAACAACAUAAUAACGUUUCCAAACAAGGAGUAAACGUUGGUAAUGGAUUCAAAUAGUGACCUGUACGCUGGAUUAUUACAACGUUAUAUAUGAUAUUAUAUAUUAUAUAUAACAUUACGUAUUGUAAUAUUAAUAAUUUCUAUCCAUAUUUUAUGCUUGGUUUACUGUUGGAGUACCGGGGUACCCAGUGCAGAGAAAACACUUCCUUGUUUUUACUUUUUAUGACUUUCUAUAUGUGUAUAUAUAUAUAUAUAUAUAUAUAUAUAUAUACGUGACCCUGUCUUGCAUCUAAUGUUUAUGGUUUUAUGGCUUAUAGUUGAUUCAGUUUUUAAUGAUGUUUUUUAUUAUUUGAUUUUGUUGUAAAAGUGUUCGUGUGGCUCAAUCUGUCAGCCUGUGGCAAAAUAGGGGUGCCGCCCCUUCAUGAGCACUUUAUGCCUUUAAGUAGCCCCGUCCCCUAGCCUGCUUCCAAGGGCUGCUUUGAGUCAGUUGAGCUGGCCAUUGGACUACAUUUCCCAGAGGCUAUAGUGCUGGGGUCACAUGGGAGGAAUUGCACUAAGUCUUACCAGGAGGAAGGGGAUGGGGUUCACGAGGUUAAAAAAACAAAAGCUGUUGACCCUCCGCUAGAAACCCCUCCCCUCCUGACCGUAGCGCCGCCCUCUCUGAGCCUUCCGCCAAGUUCAGCUGCUUCAGCGCUGACAAGAAAAGCACACAGACUUCCAAACCGCAGAAGAGCAGAAAACAAACACAACUGUAGCAUUUAUGAAUACAAAAUCGUCUUUUUAAAAUGUAUUUGUUCAGUCUGAAGAGAGUCUUUUCAAGCGUAGGCAAAUGUGACUCGUCAGCCUUGUGUAUCUCAGCCUGUGUGUGUGUGUGUGUGUGUGUGUGUGUGUGUGUGUGUGUGUGCGAGUCCAGGUGUGUAACACACAGUGCUGUGAUACAGGUGUGUAACACUCAGUGUUGUGAUACAGGUGUGUAACACUCAGUGUUGUGAUACAGGUGUGUAACACUCAGUGUUGUGAUACAGGUGUGUAACACUCAGUGUUGUGAUACAGGUGUGUUACACUCAGUGUUGUGAUACAGGUGUGUAACACACAGUGUUGUGAUACAGGUGUGUAACACAGAGACUGCUGUGAUACAGGUGUGUAACACACAGUGUCGUGAUACAGGUGUGUAACACACAGUGUUGUGAUACAGGUGUGUAACACAGUGCUGUGAUACAGGUGUGUAACACACAGUGUUGUGAUACAGGUGUGUAACACUCAGUGUUGUGAUACAGGUGUGUAACACACAGUGUUGUGAUACAGGUGUGUAACACAGUGCUGUGAUACAGGUGUGUAACACAGUGCUGUGAUACAGGUGUGUUACACUCAGUGUUGUGAUACAGGUGUGUAACACACAGUGUUGUGAUACAGGUGUGUAACACAGAGACUGCUGUGAUACAGGUGUGUAACACACAGUGUUGUGAUACAGGUGUGUAACACAGAGACUGCUGUGAUACAGGUGUGUAACACACAGUGUUGUGAUACAGGUGUGUAACACACAGUGUUGUGAUACAGGUGUGUUACACUCAGUGUUGUGAUACAGGUGUGUAACACAGUGUUGUGAUACAGGUGUGUAACACACAGUGCUGUGAUACAGGUGUGUUACACACAGUGUUGUGAUACAGGUGUGUAACAC